GAUGAACGCUGGCGGCGUGCCUAAUACAUGCAAGUCGAGCGAACAGACGAGGCGCUUGCUCCUCUGACGUUAGCGGCGGACGGGUGAGUAACACGUGGAUAACCUACCUAUAAGACUGGGAUAACUUCGGGAAACCGGCGCUAAUACCGGAUAAUAUAUUGAACCGCAUGGUUCAAUAGUGAAAGACGGUUUUGCUGUCACUUAUAGAUGGAUCCGCGCCGCAUUAGCUAGUUGGUAAGGUAACGGCUUAUCAAGGCAACGAUGCGUAGCCGACCUGAGAGGGUGAUCGGCCACACUGGAACUGAGACACGGUCCAGACUCCUACGGGAGGCAGCAGUAGGGAAUCUUCCGCAAUGGGCGAAAGCCUGACGGAGCAACGCCGCGUGAGUGAUGAAGGUCUUCGGAUCGUAAAACUCUGUUAUUAGGGAAGAACAAAUGUGUAAGUAACUAUGCACGUCUUGACGGUACCUAAUCAGAAAGCCACGGCUAACUACGUG
rnacentral:rRNA from 1 species